GAUGAACGCUGGCGGCGUGCCUAAUACAUGCAAGUCGAGCGAACGGACGAGAAGCUUGCUUUUCUGAUGUUAGCGGCGGACGGGUGAGUAACACGUGGAUAACCUACCUAUAAGACUGGGAUAACUUCGGGAAACCGGAGCUAAUACCGGAUAAUAUUUUGAACCGCAUGGUUCAAAAGUGAAAGACGGUCUUGCUGUCACUUAUAGAUGGAUCCGCGCUGCAUUAGCUAGUUGGUAAGGUAACGGCUUACCAAGGCAACGAUGCAUAGCCGACCUGAGAGGGUGAUCGGCCACACUGGAGCUGAGACACGGUCCAGACUCCUACGGGAGGCAGCAGUAGGGAAUCUUCCGCAAUGGGCGAAAGCCUGACGGAGCAACGCCGCGUGAGUGAUGAAGGUCUUCGGAUCGUAAAACCCUGUUAUUAGGGAAGAACAUAUGUGUAAGUAACUGUGCACAUCUUGACGGUACCUAAUCAGAAAGCCACGGCUAACUACGUG
rnacentral:rRNA from 1 species